GAUGAACGCUGGCGGCGUGCCUAAUACAUGCAAGUCGAGCGAACGGACGAGAAGCUUGCUUCUCUGAUGUUAGCGGCGGACGGGUGAGUAACACGUGGAUAACCUACCUAUAAGACUGGGAUAACUUCGGGAAACCGGAGCUAAUACCGGAUGAUAUUUUGAACCGCAUGGUUCAAAAGUGAAAGACGGUCUUGCUGUCACUUAUAGAUGGAUCCGCGCUGCAUUAGCUAGUUGGUAAGGUAACGGCUUACCAAGGCAACGAUGCAUAGCCGACCUGAGAGGGGGAUCGGCCACACUGGAACGGGGACACGGCCCAGGCUCCCACGGGAGGCAGCAGGAGGGAAUCUUCCGCAAGGGGCGAAAGCCUGCGGGGGAAACGCCGGGGGAGUGAUGAAGGUUUUCGGAUCGAAAAACUUUUUUAUUAGGGAAGAAAAAAUGUUAAAGUAACUGUGCACAUUUUGACGGUACCUAAACAAAAAGCCACGGCUAACUACGU
rnacentral:rRNA from 1 species